rnacentral:lncRNA from 1 species
AACAAAAUUCAUGAUUCCUGUUUUCUUUUCGCCCAUUUCAAAUGGAGCUUGCUGAGAUCCCAUCACAGCAGGCAUUCUGUCUCUCCUUAUCUGACUUGAAGCUCACAAUUUGCCUGGGAGGGUCAACUGAUUAUGGACCUAACUUCAGGUCAUCAUCACCAGCUUCUGCAGACCUGGGCUCUGUAACCAAGUCAAGCCAGCUCACUGGAGAGAUCAUUGAGGCUGGAAACAAAGCAGGAAGCAAUGAAGAAAUCAGGAACACCACCCCUCUCUUGAGCACCUAGAGGUGCCAUGGUUGGCCAUGUUUUAGUCUCUCUGACCCUUCUAGUGCAUAUGUAAAAAUCAGGAGGUGUGAGCACUUAGAGAAAAGGCAUGUGUAAGGCACCUUGGCUUGUGCCAGGCAUCAAUGACUUAAUAAGAAUAGUUAUUCCUUCCCUUUCA